rnacentral:pre_miRNA from 1 species
GAGACACCUUAUUGGGCAGGAUUUGCUUCAGUGGGGCUUUGGUGUUCACUGAAUCUGCCCCUUGAGUGUGUCUCU